rnacentral:ncRNA from 1 species
GCUUAUUCUCAGGGCGGGGUGCAAUUCCCCACCGGCGGUAUCCCGAUUUUCGGGGAGCCCGCGAGCGCUCCUUUGCCGUAUCGAGGAGGUCAGCAGACCUGGUGAGAGGCCAGGGCCGACGGUAACAGUCCGGAUGAAAGAGGAUAAGU